UACGAAGGGGGGCUAGCGUUGCUCGGAAUGACUGGGCGUAAAGGGCGCGUAGGCGGAUGGCACAGUCAGAUGUGAAAUUCCCGGGCUUAACCUGGGGGCUGCAUUUGAUACGUGUUGUCUAGAGUGAGGAAGAGGGUCGUGGAAUUCCCAGUGUAGAGGUGAAAUUCGUAGAUAUUGGGAAGAACACCAGCGGCGAAGGCGGCGCUCUGGGCCGGUACUGACGCUGAGGAGCGAAAGCGUGGGGAGCGAACAGG
rnacentral:rRNA from 1 species